UCUCUAUGAACUCCCUUAGAACAACCACAACAACCGCUGUGCUGAAGAAAGUCCGCCACAACAGGGCGCUUCUCCACCAAGUGGCAACUUCCUCGAGCGCGAAAAGCACGCCUCCCACAGGUGACCUGAAGGCUGCACAGACUCCAGCUGCUGAGCCGCACGUUAUAAGAUCCCUUCGGUCUCUAUCGUUGUUGAAGUAACGAAGCCACCGCCACUUUAACCGGUGGUUGUCUGGUCCGCCUUGCCCGAGCAAUGAAGCUAUGCAGGUUCCUAUGUGAACUAGAGGACCUUCUUUGCCUAGAUCAAGUCCAGCUGCAACCGCUCCAAUGCUUCCAAUGAUCUAUCAAACCCCGCAAAUAGUGUGUUAAUAAUCAAACUUUUUUUUUCAGUUCCAGGAGCUCCUUAAUCCCCUCGGGCCGAAACCACAUCAUAUAAUGUUGGUUUCAUUCCAUCGGUCAUUCGAACUGGGGACCUCUGACACAAUUGCCAAGGUCCUUUGGUCUUAAUAAUCAAACUUAACACAUGAGUCUCCUUAAAAAGUUUAGAAACAGACCUUAACGAUCAUAGUGGUAGCACCAAACAUGUUGGGAGUGUCGAUGCCAUUAAGAUAAGCUUUGAUCUCAGGAAUGCCAGGACCAGCAGCCGUAGGAGCAAAUACAACAACAAGUACUGUCCCCACCAGAGUCAGACCCAAAUUCGCACCAGUAAAAACCAACAGACCUGUCACAUAUCUAUUUCAACAGAAACGUAUCAUACAAGUUAACUCCAUUUCUUAGUUAUGAACGUUUUUUUUUUGGUCAAGAUUUUGAUGAUGAGUCAAUACCUGUCUUGACCGAUAUAGUGGCCGACGGCCAGGAGUUUGUAACCCGCGAUGUUUUCGACGGCGAGGUUGAUGAGAGUAGCUAUGAGACCAGUUAAGAGACCAACAAGAAAAGCUAAUGUCCAUUUUGCGAAUAUGUAUUGCAACACUUGUGUCUUUGAUCUGCUUCUCCAGUCAUGCUUGAACAGAUCAUUCUCGUUUAUUCUGCAGUAAUCACAAAUUUUAAUUUAAUUUUUCUUACAAAAUUAUUACAAUAGUUCAUGUCUCCAUCACUGAAUACUUUCCUUCGAGUUAUUUAUGAAAUUAAAGAUUAUCUGAAAACAGAGUAAAGAUCAAAACUUUAUGAGACCAAGACUAAUCAUGCUACUAUGCAAAAGGUGACCCAAGUUCUUGACAUCGAUUCUUUUUUAAGAUUUGGCUAUUGAUUGUUUGCGGAAAAUUGAAGAAGUGAGAGACUUGAAGUAUUACAACAGUUCAUAUGUCUGCAUCACUGCUAUAUUCAUCCAAUUUUUAUUUAUUUUAUAUAAAUGACGAUAAUCUGAAAACAAGAGAGUAAGACUAGUAAGAUCUAUAGAGAGACUGAGAUCAAGAAUCUAAAUCUGUUAGGUAAAGAAGACAUACUCAUAGUCUAAGCUCUCGAUGUGUGAAACAUAUGUUCCUUUUUAAACAGGAGAUAUGGUUCCUCACUCACUGUGAUUUUACAAGUAUUAAAAGAGAUCUGUGCAAUAUUUUUAACUUAUGAGUCUUCUGUUUGGUAUGAAGAAAAAAGUGCAAAACUGGACAGAAACAUCUUCAAGAAUGGGAAGACAACAACAUAGCUGCAGAGCCAUUUUUACAGACAACAGGUAAAACAAAUUGAGUAGCGAUUCAGUGUGCUUUUCUACCUUUGGAUUUUUCCAAGUGAGGAAAAGCUUGUAGAAUGUUGUAUGCCCUUAGAUCCUGCCUGGUUAAGAUCCCAAUGACAGGAGAUCUCUGCAAACGAUUUACAAUUUAGUUAGUUUCAUUAAUUGUUAAUAGGUUUUAUAGUGAAAGUAAAAUAGAAUGAAAGAAGGCAUAUAGACUCACUCCUGAGGCUUGAAUCCUGGGAACAAUAAGCAAAUGUCGGAGUCCCACUUGCCGGAACAGCACCAAAGCCUUGGCCACAGACAUGUUCUCCAUAACAGUGUAAGGUGUUGUGUUAGUGAGAGGAUGAAGAUCAACAUACAUUUGCAUCUCAGAGCUUGUGAUUGCCACAUCGUCAAAGUUGUCUUCUCUCUCAGCCAGUUCAUCCCAUGGAAACUUCUCCCUGACCUCCCACUCCUCUGUUCUUCUCUUCUCUGUCAAGAACCAUCUCUUUUUCAGAACUUUAACCAGGUGGGCUCUCAGGAUCAACCCAUGAAGCUCUAUAGCCCCAGUUCCUAGACCCAUUUGAGGAGGUACUUCUGCUUCAUCUAAAACAGGGAAUGCAUUAUGCGUCGUGUUCCUUAGCACAUCAACUAUCUUAGCAACCUUUUCCACACCUUGCAGUGUUACAACCGGAGGCUUAGCAUCACCAAGCUCACCAACGGAGAGGUUCCUCAUCCACGGCUCCGGAUUCGCUUCCAAGAAAGGUAACCCCUUAAGAUGCAGUAUGAUAUCAUAGAUACUUGGGUUAAAGCUGUCUCCCACAGUUUUAGCAAUCAGAAGCACUAUCAUCGUAAUGGGAAGCAAAAGAAGGUUGUUGGUGAGUUCAAGAAAUAUAACACAGAGUGACACAGUCAUUCUCAUGGAUCCAGCCAUGAGUGAAGCUGCGCCAAGGACAGCGUAAAGCCCUUGGUCAAUGCUAGUGUAUGAUCCCAUCAACCCACCAAGCAUUCUUCCAUACGCAGAACCCAUGAGGAUGAUAGGGAGGAAGAGACCAGACGGAGUUGCGAUACCAAACGUGAAAAGCCCCAAGAUGCAGUAGAGCACAAAGAAUAUCCAAAGGGAGCCCAUGCUGAACUCAUUAGGAGUGUUGGAAGAGAAGAUGUUCCUGACAGCAUCAUCGUUGGUGGUGAGAAGCAGAGUAGCUAGAUCACUGUAGUAGCCUUUUGGGCAAUGGAACUGUUUGAAGUUCCCUGAUCUACCAUUCGUUGGGCAUCUCUCUUCUAUGGAGGGGUCACAAGGUGUGCAUUUGGCCAAGAAAGGAAGACCGUAGAGACAAACCGAUGUGAAGAGAGAUACAGUAAGAGCAAGAAGCACCUUAUGGAUCUUACCCUUCCUGCAAAAAGACCAAACAAAGGUAAGUAAGUAAGCACCUAGUAGAGUUUGCACUAUGUUUCAAGCAUUUCAAAACUUAACUGGUUGAUGAGAUUGUAAAGCCGGAGAACUUUAUGGAGAAAGUGAUUGUAGAGACUCCCAAGAACUCCACCGAUGACACCAAUCAACAUGACAGGGAUUAUAUCAGUCGCAUGGUAAGUAUAAGUAACGUGACUCACAUCAAACAUGAUAAGCCCUCCUCUUCCAAACAAUCCACACUUGCCUGAGUUGCAUAUCUCUAUGAACUCCCUUAGAACAACCACAACAACCGCUGUGCUGAAGAAAGUCCGCCACAACAGGGCGCUUCUCCACCAAGUGGCAACUUCCUCGAGCGCGAAAAGCACGCCUCCCACAGGUGACCUGAAGGCUGCACAGACUCCAGCUGCUGAGCCGCACGUUAUAAGAUCCCUUCGGUCUCUAUCGUUGUUGAAGUAACGAAGCCACCGCCACUUUAACCGGUGGUUGUCUGG
rnacentral:lncRNA from 1 species